rnacentral:ribozyme from 13 species
UGGGAUGCCGCUAUAUAGGAAGAACAUACAAAAAUAAUCAGUUCUUUUUCUUUUUUUUUCCAAAUUUAAUUUUGAAAUAAAACUAAAGAAAACAAAACUGAUAG